rnacentral:rRNA from 1 species
CCUACGGGAGGCAGCAGUGGGGAAUAUUGGGCAAUGGGCGCAAGCCUGACCCAGCAACGCCGCGUGAAGGAAGAAGGCUUUCGGGUUGUAAACUUCUUUUCUCAGGGACGAAGCAAGUGACGGUACCUGAGGAAUAAGCCACGGCUAACUACGUGCCAGCAGCCGCGGCAAUACGUAGGUGGCAAGCGUUAUCCGGAUUGACUGGGUGUAAAGGGCGGGUAGGCGGGGAGGCAAGUCAGAGGUGAAAACCACGGGCUCAACCGGUGGCCUUCAUUGGAAACUGUGUUUCUUGGGUACUGGGGAGGCAGACGGAAUUCCUGGUGUGGCGGUAAA